rnacentral:misc_RNA from 1 species
GUUCUACCCAGCUGAUGACGUGAAGAAGCCAAUUGUCAACAAGCGCAAGCCCAAAACCACCGAGCUGAGGGGCGGUGUUGAUUUUUUUGGCGAGGAGAUUUAUGGAGAAGAGAGUCGUUUUCUUGAAGCAGCUUCCUUCUGGUUUGCUUUUGGUCACUGUGGUAUCAGAGCUACUCGAUCCUCAGAAAUGGCUGAGGGAACUCGCUCUCAUGAGUGGUUCAAGAAUUGGAAUUGCAGCAAGAGAAUUUGAGAAAAGAAGCAGAAACAAGAAAUCAAAGAGCCUUAUAUGAGAUUAAAGCACUCAUUGCAGAAUGUGGAAAGGGUUUCGGGAAAAGGUAAGGGAAUGUUGGAUGAAGGAAGAUCCAAU